rnacentral:rRNA from 1 species
GACGAACGCUGGCGGCGUGCUUAACACAUGCAAGUCGAACGGAAAGGCCCUGCUUUUGUGGGGUGCUCGAGUGGCGAACGGGUGAGUAACACGUGAGUAACCUGCCCUUGACUUUGGGAUAACUUCAGGAAACUGGGGCUAAUACCGGAUAGGGGCUCCUGCUGCAUGGUGGGGGUUGGAAAGUUUCGGCGGUUGGGGAUGGACUCGCGGCUUAUCAGCUUGUUGGUGGGGUAGUGGCUUACCAAGGCUUUGACGGGUAGCCGGCCUGAGAGGGUGACCGGCCACAUUGGGACUGAGAUACGGCCCAGACUCCUACGGGAGGCAGCAGUGGGGAAUAUUGCACAAUGGGCGGAAGCCUGAUGCAGCAACGCCGCGUGCGGGAUGACGGCCUUCGGGUUGUAAACCGCUUUCGCCUGUGACGAAGCGUGAGUGACGGUAAUGGGUAAAGAAGCACCGGCUAACUACGUGCCAGCAGCCGCGGUGAUACGUAGGGUGCGAGCGUUGUCCGGAUUUAUUGGGCGUAAAGGGCUCGUAGGUGGUUGAUCGCGUCGGAAGUGUAAUCUUGGGGCUUAACCCUGAGCGUGCUUUCGAUACGGGUUGACUUGAGGAAGGUAGGGGAGAAUGGAAUUCCUGGUGGAGCGGUGGAAUGCGCAGAUAUCAGGAGGAACACCAGUGGCGAAGGCGGUUCUCUGGGCCUUUCCUGACGCUGAGGAGCGAAAGCGUGGGGAGCGAACAGGCUUAGAUACCCUGGUAGUCCACGCUGUAAACGGUGGGUACUAGGUGUGGGGUCCAUUCCACGGGUUCCGUGCCGUAGCUAACGCUUUAAGUACCCCGCCUGGGGAGUACGGCCGCAAGGCUGAAACUCAAAGGAAUUGACGGGGCCCCGCACAAGCGGCGGAGCAUGCGGAUUAAUUCGAUGCAACGCGUAGAACCUUACCUGGGUUUGACAUGGAUCGGGAGUGCUCAGAGAUGGGUGUGCCUCUUUUGGGGUCGGUUCACAGGUGGUGCAUGGCUGUCGUCAGCUCGUGUCGUGAGAUGUUGGGUUAAGUCCCGCAACGAGCGCAACCCUUGUUCACUGUUGCCAGCACGUUAUGGUGGGGACUCAGUGGAGACCGCCGGGGUCAACUCGGAGGAAGGUGGGGAUGACGUCAAGUCAUCAUGCCCCUUAUGUCCAGGGCUUCACGCAUGCUACAAUGGCUGGUACAGAGAGUGGCGAGCCUGUGAGGGUGAGCGAAUCUCGGAAAGCCGGUCUCAGUUCGGAUUGGGGUCUGCAACUCGACCUCAUGAAGUCGGAGUCGCUAGUAAUCGCAGAUCAGCAACGCUGCGGUGAAUACGUUCCCGGG